rnacentral:rRNA from 1 species
UACGGAGGGAGCUAGCGUUGUUCGGAAAUACUGGGCGUAAAGCGCGCGUAGGCGGUUUGCUAAGUCGGAUGUGAAAUCCCCGGGCUCAACCUGGGAACUGUAUCCGAUACUGGCCGACUCGAGUGCGAGAGAGGGAGGUAGAAUUCCACGUGUAGCGGUGAAAUGCGUAGAUAUGUGGAGGAAUACCGGUGGCGAAGGCGGCCUCCUGGCUCGACACUGACGCUGAGGUGCGAAAGCGUGGGGAGCAAACAGG